AUAACGAUACGGGACUCAUCCGAGGCCCCGUAAUCGGAAUGAGUACACUUUAAAUCCUUUAAUGAGGAUCCAUUGGAGGGCAAGUCUGGUGCCAGCAGCCGCGGUAAUUCCAGCUCCAAUAGCGUAUAUUAAAGUUGUUGCGGUUAAAAAGCUCGUAGUUGAAUCUGUGUGCCACGCUGUCGGUUCAUCGCUCGCGAUGUUUAACUGACAUGAUUGUGGGACGUCCUACCGGUGGAUUGGCCUUUCGGGGCGGUCCAGCUAAUAUCCCAUCGCGGUGCUCUUCAUCGAGUGUCGAGGUGGGCCGGUACGUUUACUUUGAACAAAUUAGAGUGCUCAAAGCAGGCUAUACGCGCCUGAAUACUGUGUGCAUGGAAUAAUGGAAUAGGACCUCGGUUCUAUUUUGUUGGUUUUCGGAACCCCGAGGUAAUGAUUAAUAGGGACAGAUGGGGGCAUUCGUAUUGCGACGUUAGAGGUGAAAUUCUUGGAUCGUCGCAAGACGGACAGAAGCGAAAGCAUUUGCCAAAAAUGUUUUCAUUAAUCAAGAACGAAAGUUAGAGGUUCGAAGGCGAUCAGAUACCGCCCUAGUUCUAACCAUAAACGAUGCCAGCUAGCGAUCCGCCGAUGUUCCUUUGAUGACUCGGCGGGCAGCUUCCGGGAAACCAAAGCUUUUGGGUUCCGGGGGAAGUAUGGUUGCAAAGCUGAAACUUAAAGGAAU
rnacentral:rRNA from 1 species